GACGAACGCUGGCGGCGUGCUUAACACAUGCAAGUCGAACGGUGAAGCGCCUUCCUUUUUGGUGGGUGUGGAUGAGUGGCGAACGGGUGAGUAACACGUGAGUAACCUGCCCCCUUCUUCUGGAUAACCGCAUGAAAGUGUGGCUAAUACGGGAUAUUCUGGGUCUGUCGCAUGAUGGGUCUGGGAAAGAUAUUGUUUCGGUGGGGGAUGGGCUCGCGGCCUAUCAGCUUGUUGGUGGGGUGAUGGCCUACCAAGGCGGUGACGGGUAGCCGGCCUGGGAGGGUGGACGGUCACACUGGGACUGAGACACGGGCCAGACUCGUACGGGAGGCAGCAGUGGGGAAUAUUGCACAAUGGGCGCAAGCCUGAUGCAGCGACGCCGCGUGAGGGAUGGAGGCCUUCGGGUUGUGAACCUCUUUCGCCAGUGAAGCAGGCCUGCCUCGUUUGUGGGUGGGUUGACGGUAGCUGGAUAAGAAGCGCCGGCUAACUACGUG
rnacentral:rRNA from 1 species